rnacentral:rRNA from 1 species
GACGAACGCUGGCGGCGUGCCUAACACAUGCAAGUCGAACGGCAAGGCACUGCUUUCGUGGGGUGCCCGAGUGGCGAACGCGUGAGUAACACGUGAGUAACCUGCCCUAGACUUUGGGAUAACUUCAGGAAACUGGGGCUAAUAUCGGACAGGAGCCCCUGCUGCAUGGUGGGGGUUGGAAAGUCUCGGCGGUCGGGGAUGGACGCGCGGCUUAUCAGCUUGUUGGUGGGGUAGUGGCUUACCAAGGCAUUGACGGGUAGCCGGCCUGAGAGGGUGACCGGCCACAUUGGUACUGAGGUACGGCCCAGACUCCUACGGGAGGCAGCAGUGGGGAAUAUUGCACAAUGGGCGGACGCCUGAUGCAGCGACGCCGCGUGCGGGAUGACGGCCUUCGGGUUGUGAACCGCUGUCGCCUGUGACGAAGCGUGAGUGACGGUAAUGGGUAAAGAAGCACCGGCUAACUACGUG